rnacentral:rRNA from 2 species
ACUGCUGCUUAUGACUGGGCUAACACGUGCUACAUGGAUGGUACAAAGGGCUGCAAGACCGCGAGGUCAAGCCAAUCCCAUAAAACCAUUCUCAGUUCGGAUUGUAGGCUGCAACUCGCCUACAUGAAGCUGGAAUCGCUAGUAAUCGCGGAUCAGCAUGCCGCGGUGAAUACGUUCCCGGGCCUUGUACACACCGCCCGUCACACCACGAGAGUUUGUAACACCCGAAGUCGGUGGGGUAACCUUUAUGGAGCCAGCCGCCUAAGGUGGGACAGAUGAUUGGGGUGAAGUCGUAACAAGGUAACCA